rnacentral:rRNA from 1 species
GAUGAACGCUGGCGGCGUGCUUAACACAUGCAAGUCGAACGAACCUUCGGGUUAGUGGCGGACGGGUGAGUAACGCGUGAGAAUCUGCCCUCAGGAGGGGGACAACAGCUGGAAACGGCUGCUAAUACCCCAUAUGCCGCGAGGUGAAAUGAAUUUCGCCUGAGGAUGAGCUCGCGUCUGAUUAGCUAGUUGGUGUAGGUAAUGGCUCACCAAGGCAUCGAUCAGUAGCUGGUCUGAGAGGAUGAUCAGCCACACUGGGACUGAGACACGGCCCAGACUCCUACGGGAGGCAGCAGUGGGGAAUUUUCCGCAAUGGGCGAAAGCCUGACGGAGCAACGCCGCGUGAGGGAUGAAGGCCUCUGGGCUGUAAACCUCUUUUAUCAAGGAGGAAGAUCUGACGGUACUUGAUGAAUAAGCCACGGCUAAUUCCGUGCCAGCA